rnacentral:snRNA from 1 species
AAACAGAGAAUCCGAUGUUUAAA